rnacentral:rRNA from 1 species
UCAACUGUGGAGGGUCAUNGGAAACUGUUGAACUUGAGUGCAGGAGAGAAAAGUGGAAUUCNUAGUGUAGCGGUGAAAUGCGUAGAGAUUAGGGGGAACACCAGUGGCGAAGGCGGCUUUUUGGCCUGUAACUGACACUGAGGCGCGAAAGCGUGGGGAGCAAACAGGAUUAGAUACCCUGGUAGUNCACGCCGUAAACGAUGAGUGCUAAGUGUUGGUCUCAUAAGAGAUCAGUGCUGCAGCUAACGCAUUAAGCACUCCGCCUGGGGAGUACGACCGCAAGGUUGAGACUCAAAGGAAUUGACGGGGACCCGCACAAGCGGUGGAGCAUGUGGUUUAAUUNGAAGCAACGCGAAGAACCUUACCAAGUCUUGACAUACUGUGAGGACACAAGAGAUUGUGUUGUUCUGACCUUUGGUUAGACACAGAUACAGGUGGUGCAUGGUUGUCGUCAGCUUGUGUCGUGAGAUGUUGGGUUAAGUCCCGCAACGAGCGCAACCCUUAUAUCUAGUUGCCAGCAGUAAGAUGGGGACUCUAGAUAGACUGCCAGUGAUAAACUGGAGGAAGGUGGGGAUGACGUCAAGUCAUCAUGCCCCUUAUGACUUGGGCUACACACGUGCUACAAUGGAUAGGAACAAAGAGAAGCAAGCUCGCGAGAGUAAGCAAACCUCACAAAACUAUUCUCAGUUCGGAUUGUAGUCUGCAACUCGACUACAUGAAGCUGGAAUCGCUAGUAAUCGCGAAUCAGAAUGUCGCGGUGAAUACGUUCCCGGGUCUUGUACACACCGCCCGUCACACCACGAGAGUUUGUAACACCCGAA